GAGGGUAUAGCUCAGUGGUAGAGCAUUUGACUGCAGAUCAAGAGAUUCCUGGCUCAAAUCCGGGUGCCCCCU